CCCUUAGAUGUUCGGGGCCGCACGCGCGCUACACUGAAGGAAUCAGCACGUCUUUCUCCUUGUCCGAAAGGACUGGGUAACCCGCUGAACCUCCUUCGUGCUAGGGAUUGGGGCUUGUAAUUCUUCCCCAUGAACGAGGAAUUCCCAGUAAGCGCGAGUCAUAAGCUCGCGUUGAUUACGUCCCUGCCCUUUGUACACACCGCCCGUCGCUACUACCGAUUGGAUGGUUUAGUGAGAUCCUCGAAUUGGUCCCGGCGCGGCCUCUGGUCGUGCCGGAGUGCCGAAAAGAAUGUCGAACUUGAUCAUCUAGAGGAAGUAAAAGUCGUAACA
rnacentral:rRNA from 1 species